GAAAUGCGAUAAGUAAUGUGAAUUGCAGAAUUCCGUGAAUCAUCGAAUCUUUGAACGCACAUUGCGCCCUCUGGUAUUCCGGGGGCAUGCCUGUCCGAGCGUCAUUGCGAACCCCUCAAGCACGGCUUGUGUGAUGGGCCCUCCCGCGUCUUGGUCGUCAAGACGGGCCCGAAAUGCAGUGGCGGCUUCGCGGUUAUCCGAUCAGCCAGAGCGUAUGGGGACUCUCUCUCUUGUCACACGCACGCGGCGCGGACCGACGCCUGUCGACCUUUAUUCAUCUUCUCUCGGUUGACCUCGGAUCAGGUAGGGAUACCCGCUGAACUUAAGC
rnacentral:misc_RNA from 1 species